AUUGAACGCUGGCGGAAUGCUUUACACAUGCAAGUCGAACGGCAGCACGGGAGCUUGCUCCUGGUGGCGAGUGGCGAACGGGUGAGUAACAUAUCGGAACGUACCCAGUCGUGGGGGAUAACUAUCCGAAAGGAUAGCUAAUACCGCAUACGUCCUGAGGGAGAAAGCGGGGGAUCGCAAGACCUCGCGCGAUUGGAGCGGCCGAUAUCGGAUUAGCUAGUUGGUGGGGUAAAGGCUCACCAAGGCGACGAUCCGUAGCGGGUCUGAGAGGACGACCCGGCCACACUGGAACUGAGACACGGUCCAGACUCCUACGGGAGGCAGCA
rnacentral:rRNA from 1 species